GAUGAACGCUGGCGGCGUGCCUAAUACAUGCAAGUCGAGCGAACAGACGAGGAGCUUGCUCCUCUGACGUUAGCGGAGGACGGGUGAGUAACACGUGGAUAACCUACCUAUAAGACUGGGAUAACUUCGGGAAACCGGAGCUAAUACGGGAUAAUAUAUUGAACCGCAUGGUGCGAUAGUGAAAGACGGUUUUGCUGUCACUUAUAGAUGGAUCCGCGCCGGAUUAGCUGGUUGGUAAGGUAACGGCUUACCAAGGCUACGAGGCGUAGGCGACGUGAGAGGGUGAUCGGCCACACUGGAACGGAGACACGGUCCAGACUCCUACGGGAGGCAGCAGUAGGGAAUCUUCCGCAAUGGGCGAAAGCCUGACGGAGCAACGCGGCGUGAGUGAUGAAGGUCUUCGGAUCGUAAAACUCUGUUAUUAGGGAAGAACAAAUGUGUAAGGAACUGUGCACGGCUUGACGGUACCUAAUCAGAAAGCCACGGCUAACUACGUG
rnacentral:rRNA from 1 species